AUCAUUAACUAAUGUAUUGGCACUUUACUGGGAUUUACUUCUCAGUAUUGUUUGCUUCUAUACUGUGAACCUCUGGCGAUGAAGGUCGUAACUGACCUUCGGGAGAGACUCAGGACAUAUAGGCUAUAAUGGGUAGGCCUGUUCUGGGGUUUGAUCGAUGCCAAUCAGGAUUACCUUUCUUCCUUUGGGAAGGAAGGUGCCUGGUACCCUUUACCAUAUACCAUGAAUUCAGAAUUGAAAGUAUAAUAUAAUAACAACUUUUAACAAUGGAUCUCUUGGUUCUCGCAUCGAUGAAGAACGUAGCAAAGUGCGAUAACUAGUGUGAAUUGCAUAUUCGUGAAUCAUCGAGUCUUUGAACGCAGCUUGCACUCUAUGGAUCUUCUAUAGAGUACGCUUGCUUCAGUAUCAUAACCAACCCACACAUAAAAUUUAUUUUAUGUGGUGAUGGACAAGCUCGGUUAAAUUUAAUUAUUAUACCGAUUGUCUAAAAUACAGCCUCUUUGUAAUUUUCAUUAAAUUACGAACUACCUAGCCAUCGUGCUUUUUUGGUCCAACCAAAAAACAUAUAAUCUAGGGGUUCUGCUAGCCAGCAGAUAUUUUAAUGAUCUUUAACUAUGAUCUGAAGUCAAGUGGGACUACCCGCUGAACUUAAGCAUAUCAAUAAGCGGAGGAAAAGAAAAUAACAAUGAUUUCCUUAGUAACGGCGAGUGAACAGGAAAAAGCUCAAAGUUGGAACCUGUU
rnacentral:rRNA from 1 species